CUGCGAUCAGGCGGGAACUUCUCCAUUUCCAUACCAAGAGUCAUCGGCUAAAAUAUAGUGCUCCUGAAUAACACAUUGGAAGACUUUAAUGCAUACUCUAUAGUGGCAAAGCAUACUUCACCCAGUGCCUUGGUGGAAUCUGCAAGUUGGAUGAACAGUCAACACUUCUGAGAUUUUUACACACAAAUUAGACCUGUCACUUUCUCGAAAAGAAAAGUAGAUUGCUUUAACUUUCCCUGGGGAUAUUUCAAUUCUCAAAAUCAAAGAGAAAAUGGUCAAACCAACAUCAGCUUCAGCACUAAUUUUACUGUGCUUCCUCUUUCUACUCAAAAUUGUUUUACCACUCACACCCAGCUGGAUUCCCAGAAGCCUUCC